CUCCUUCAAGCUUUCUAGUUUGGACUUGGGCGUGGGGGUACAUACCCUGCCCGAAAUAGUGGGUGGGAGCAGCUUGCUGUAGUUGACGCCAAUGAGUUAGGUUCUGCCAGUUCGUUGGAAAGACUAGGGGAGGUUGUUGCCGAUAAACAAGCCUAUUGUACCAAAA
rnacentral:misc_RNA from 1 species